rnacentral:ncRNA from 2 species
AAAAGCCUUCGGGGAUGGGUGAAAUUCCCUACCGGCGGUAUGGAGGGCGGAUGACCUUCCGAGCCCGCGAGCCCUGCACCAUCACGCAUGUUGCAGGGUUGAUCUGGUGAAAGGCCAGAGCCGACAGUAAAAGUCUGGAUGGGAGAAGGCAUAG